rnacentral:lncRNA from 1 species
UCCCUUUCCUUCCUUUCUUUUUGGUUUAGAGAAGCCCUUUCAGUAUUUCCUUUAACCUGGGUUUUGUGUUGCUGUAUUCUUUAAGUUUUUGUUUGUUGGGAAAAAUUUUUAUUUCCCCUUCUAUUUUAAAUGAUAUUCUUGCUGGAUAGAGUAUUCUAGGUUGCAUAUUUUUUCCUUUUAGCACUUUAAAUAUCUCUUGCCAUUCCCUCCUGGCCUGUAGUGUUUCUGUAGAGAAAUCAGCUGAUAUUCUUAUGGGGGUUCCCUUGUAGGUAACAUUCUGUUUUUCUCUUGCUGCCUUUAGGAUCCUCUCUUUAUCACUAACUUUUGCCAUUUUUAUUAUGAUGUGUCUUGGUGUGGGUCUGUUUGGGUUCAGUUUGUUUGGGGCCCUCUGUGCUUCUUGUAUCUUGAAUCCAGUAUCCUUUAGAUUUGGGAAGUUUCCAGCGAUAAUUUCUUCAAAUAUAUUUUCCAUUCCCUUAUCUUUUUCUACUCCUUCUGGAAUUCCUAUUAUGCGUAGAUUGGCCCGCUUUAUAUUAUCCCAUAGGUCUCUUAUAUUGCUUUCCAGUUUUUUGAUUCGGUUUUCUGUCUGUUGACCAGAUUGAGUGAUUUCCAUUAUUCUAUCUUCCAUAUCACUGAUUCGUUCUUCUGCAUUAUUCAUUCUGGUUUUUACUGCCCCUAGUUCAGUUUGCAUCUCUGCAAAUGAAUGUUCUAGUUUUUCUUGGCUCCUCCUUAUAUUUUCUAGUUCCUUUCUGAGGGUAUCUGCAUUACUGUUCAUAUCUUCUCUUAAUUCCUUCAGUAUUUUCACUAUUUCUCUUUUGAACUCCAGGUCUGUCUGACUGCAGAGAUCUGUUUCAUUGUUGACUGUUUUAGGUGAGUUCUCCUGUUGGUUUGACUGGGGGUGGUUUCUCAGCUUCUUCAUCUUGCUUGUUGUUUUCUUUCUCCUGAGGGAGUUGUACUCUCCGUUAUCGGGCAGUGUUUGCCUUGUCACUGCCGUGGAAUAUUUCCUGAGGGCUGGCGUUGUUGGUCAAUCUUUUUUGAGGCAGUGUGGCUUUUCUGGAGUGUUGAUGGGGCUAACAGUGUUUCUUUGAAGCAAAGGAGGACUUCCUGAGGGCAGACAGGACUGGGAGGUCCACACCACGAUGGUAGCAGAUUUCACUUGGUCAUGCAGAGCUUGCUCUGGUGUUUUUAGGCUGUGGGGUUCUUGCAGGGGGUUGGCGGUGUUGGGCAGCUGCUCUUCAGGGGUGCAUCACCCCCUGGGGGCUGGAGCAGCUAUCUGGGUCACUGAGAACCUAAGAGGCUCUUCCCUAGGGCAGCCCAACUCAGAAGGACAGCCUGAGAAUGUAGGCCGAUCUAUUCACGGCCUGGCUAGGCUUGUUCUAGCUUUUCUGGGCUGCAGGCCUUUUCUCGGGGGCUGGUGGUGUUUGGUGCUGCUCUGCGGAAGUGUAGCCCCUCCAAAGGGCAAGCAGGCCUGUGCAGGGACAGCCCCUGCGGUGGUAGGCUUCAGGCAAUUGUUGAGGCCAGCCCUCCUGGAUGGCAGGCAGCCCCAGGUUCUGCGAGAGCGUAGGGGGUGGCGGGGGUGGGGGGAGGGGAUGCACUGGGAAGCACAGCUUUCUGCUAGCUAGCGGGCCUGUAAGCUUGCUGUGGCGUGGGGGGUAUUCUAUGGGGACCCACCCCUUCUUCUCU